rnacentral:rRNA from 1 species
AGAACGAACGCUGGCGGCAUGCCUAAUACAUGCAAGUCGAACGAGAUCUUCGGGUCUAGUGGCGCACGGGUGCGUAACGCGUGGGAAUCUACCCUUGGGUUCGGAAUAACAGUUGGAAACGACUGCUAAUACCGGAUGAUGACGAAAGUCCAAAGAUUUAUCGCCCAGGGAUGAGCCCGCGUAGGAUUAGCUAGUUGGUGAGGUAAAGGCUCACCAAGGCUACGAUCCUUAGCUGGUCUGAGAGGAUGAUCAGCCACACUGGGACUGAGACACGGCCCAGACUCCUACGGGAGGCAGCAGUAGGGAACUAUUGGACAAUGGGGGGCAAACCCUGAUCCAGUCAAUGCCGCGUGAGUGAUGAAGGCCUUAGGUUGCAAAGCUCGUUUUAACCCGAGAUGAUAAUGACUAGUAUCGGAAGAAUAAGCUACCGGCUAAACGUCCCGUGCCAGCAGCCGC